GACGAACGCUGGCGGCGUGCCUAAUACAUGCAAGUAGAACGCUGAAGGAGGAGCUUGCUUCUCUGGAUGAGUUGCGAACGGGUGAGUAACGCGUAGGUAACCUGCCUGGUAGCGGGGGAUAACUAUUGGAAUCGAUAGCUAAUACCGCAUAAGAGUAGAUGUUGCAUGACAUUUGCUUAAAAGGUGCAGUUGCAUCACUACCAGAUGGACCUGCGUUGUAUUAGCUAGUUGGUGGGGUAACGGCUUACCAAGGCGACGAUACAUAGCCGACCUGAGAGGGUGAUCGGCCACACUGGGACUGAGACACGGCCCAGACUCCUACGGGAGGCAGCAGUAGGGAAUCUUCGGCAAUGGACGGAAGUCUGACCGAGCAACGCCGCGUGAGUGAAGAAGGUUUUCGGAUCGUAAAGCUCUGUUGUAAGAGAAGAACGAGUGUGAGAGUGGAAAGUUCACACUGUGACGGUAUCUUACCAGAAAGGGACGGCUAACUACGUG
rnacentral:rRNA from 1 species